rnacentral:sRNA from 1 species
UUGACAGCCCGGGACACCAGGAUCCUAUACUAGCAACAAAAAAUGUACAGCACAGGUAGCGGCAGUGCAAGCUGCCUCACACUACCCUACGUUGUUGUACUCAACCUUGACGUGGAGGGUCCUCUUCUUAUCAGACAAUAUUGUAGCUGUGUCCAUGAUCCAUUCAGCCCUUCCCCUUU